UUAAGCGACUAAGCGUACACGGUGGAUGCCCUGGCAGUCAGAGGCGAUGAAGGACGUGCUAAUCUGCGAUAAGCGUCGGUGAGGUGAUAUGAACCGUUAUAACCGGCGAUUUCCGAAUGGGGAAACCCAGUGUGUUUCGACACACUAUCAUUAACUGAAUCCAUAGGUUAAUGAGGCGAACCGGGGGAACUGAAACAUCUAAGUACCCCGAGGAAAAGAAAUCAACCGAGAUUCCCCCAGUAGCGGCGAGCGAACGGGGAGGAGCCCAGAGCCUGAAUCAGUGUGUGUGUUAGUGGAAGCGUCUGGAAAGGCGCGCGAUACAGGGUGACAGCCCCGUACACAAAAAUGCACAUACUGUGAGCUCGAUGAGUAGGGCGGGACACGUGGUAUCCUGUCUGAAUAUGGGGGGACCAUCCUCCAAGGCUAAAUACUCCUGACUGACCGAUAGUGAACCAGUACCGUGAGGGAAAGGCGAAAAGAACCCCGGCGAGGGGAGUGAAAAAGAACCUGAAACCGUGUACGUACAAGCAGUGGGAGCCUCUUAAUGGGGUGACUGCGUACCUUUUGUAUAAUGGGUCAGCGACUUAUAUUCUGUAGCAAGGUUAACCGAAUAGGGGAGCCGAAGGGAAACCGAGUCUUAACUGGGCGUUAAGUUGCAGGGUAUAGACCCGAAACCCGGUGAUCUAGCCAUGGGCAGGUUGAAGGUUGGGUAACACUAACUGGAGGACCGAACCGACUAAUGUUGAAAAAUUAGCGGAUGACUUGUGGCUGGGGGUGAAAGGCCAAUCAAACCGGGAGAUAGCUGGUUCUCCCCGAAAGCUAUUUAGGUAGCGCCUCGUGAAUUCAUCUCCGGGGGUAGAGCACUGUUUCGGCAAGGGGGUCAUCCCGACUUACCAACCCGAUGCAAACUGCGAAUACCGGAGAAUGUUAUCACGGGAGACACACGGCGGGUGCUAACGUCCGUCGUGAAGAGGGAAACAACCCAGACCGCCAGCUAAGGUCCCAAAGUCAUGGUUAAGUGGGAAACGAUGUGGGAAGGCCCAGACAGCCAGGAUGUUGGCUUAGAAGCAGCCAUCAUUUAAAGAAAGCGUAAUAGCUCACUGGUCGAGUCGGCCUGCGCGGAAGAUGUAACGGGGCUAAACCAUGCACCGAAGCUGCGGCAGCGACACUAUGUGUUGUUGGGUAGGGGAGCGUUCUGUAAGCCUGUGAAGGUGGCCUGUGAGGGUUGCUGGAGGUAUCAGAAGUGCGAAUGCUGACAUAAGUAACGAUAAAGCGGGUGAAAAGCCCGCUCGCCGGAAGACCAAGGGUUCCUGUCCAACGUUAAUCGGGGCAGGGUGAGUCGACCCCUAAGGCGAGGCCGAAAGGCGUAGUCGAUGGGAAACAGGUUAAUAUUCCUGUACUUGGUGUUACUGCGAAGGGGGGACGGAGAAGGCUAUGUUGGCCGGGCGACGGUUGUCCCGGUUUAAGCGUGUAGGCUGGUUUUCCAGGCAAAUCCGGAAAACCAAGGCUGAGGCGUGAUGACGAAGCACUACGGUGCUGAAGCGACAAAUGCCCUGCUUCCAGGAAAAGCCUCUAAGCAUCAGGUAACAUCAAAUCGUACCCCAAACCGACACAGGUGGUCAGGUAGAGAAUACCAAGGCGCUUGAGAGAACUCGGGUGAAGGAACUAGGCAAAAUGGUGCCGUAACUUCGGGAGAAGGCACGCUGAUAUGUAGGUGAAGCGACUUGCUCGUGGAGCUGAAAUCAGUCGAAGAUACCAGCUGGCUGCAACUGUUUAUUAAAAACACAGCACUGUGCAAACACGAAAGUGGACGUAUACGGUGUGACGCCUGCCCGGUGCCGGAAGGUUAAUUGAUGGGGUUAGCGGUAACGCGAAGCUCUUGAUCGAAGCCCCGGUAAACGGCGGCCGUAACUAUAACGGUCCUAAGGUAGCGAAAUUCCUUGUCGGGUAAGUUCCGACCUGCACGAAUGGCGUAAUGAUGGCCAGGCUGUCUCCACCCGGGACUCAGUGAAAUUGAACUCGCUGUGAAGAUGCAGUGUACCCGCGGCAAGACGGAAAGACCCCGUGAACCUUUACUAUAGCUUGACACUGAACAUUGAGCCUUGAUGUGUAGGAUAGGUGGGAGGCUUUGAAGUGUGGACGCCAGUCUGCAUGGAGCCGACCUUGAAAUACCACCCUUUAAUGUUUGAUGUUCUAACGUUGGCCCGUAAUCCGGGUUGCGGACAGUGUCUGGUGGGUAGUUUGACUGGGGCGGUCUCCUCCUAAAGAGUAACGGAGGAGCACGAAGGUUGGCUAAUCCUGGUCGGACAUCAGGAGGUUAGUGCAAUGGCAUAAGCCAGCUUGACUGAGAGCGUGACGGCGCGAGCAGGUGCGAAAGCAGGUCAUAGUGAUCCGGUGGUUCUGAAUGGAAGGGCCAUCGCUCAACGGAUAAAAGGUACUCCGGGGAUAACAGGCUGAUACCGCCCAAGAGUUCAUAUCGACGGCGGUGUUUGGCACCUCGAUGUCGGCUCAUCACAUCCUGGGGCUGAAGUAGGUCCCAAGGGUAUGGCUGUUCGCCAUUUAAAGUGGUACGCGAGCUGGGUUUAGAACGUCGUGAGACAGUUCGGUCCCUAUCUGCCGUGGGCGCUGGAGAACUGAGGGGGGCUGCUCCUAGUACGAGAGGACCGGAGUGGACGCAUCACUGGUGUUCGGGUUGUCAUGCCAAUGGCACUGCCCGGUAGCUAAAUGCGGAAGAGAUAAGUGCUGAAAGCAUCUAAGCACGAAACUUGCCCCGAGAUGAGUUCUCCCUGAGACUUAGAGUCUCCUGAAGGAACGUUGAAGACGACGACGUUGAUAGGCCGGGUGUGUAAGCGCAGCGAUGCGUUGAGCUAACCGGUACUAAUGAACCGUGAGGCUUAACCUU
rnacentral:rRNA from 1 species